UUUUGGCGAGGUUAUACUGUAUGAGCAAGCAAGAUCAUGCAUGUUUAAAUCCAGCAUGAAUAAUCCUUUCCUGAGGGGAAUGUUGGCUUGCCCCAAUGCAAGAUCAUCUGCUGAGCCCAAUGAAAUGGGUUGGUGCAAGCAAUGGUGUUCCAGCCCCCCUACGCAUAGUCAUAAUAUCUAUGCUGUACAAAGUGAUGGAAAAAAAAUAAUACUAAUCUACUAUUAGAGAUGUGUUAUUACUCAGCAUCUGUUCUAGUCAUGAAGUACUUUUGGAGGCGUCAACAGCCAUCUUGUAAUGACUACAUAUAAGCGUAGGCCUCCCCCUACACACAGAGCCUGGCUUUGUGAACCAAUAAAAUCCCACACCAGCCAUCACACUCCAUCAUUUGCUACCUCUUUGUCUGCUGCAGAAGGACACACUGAAAUAAAGACUUACA